rnacentral:rRNA from 1 species
AGGCUGCAACUCGCCUGCAUGAAGUCGGAAUUGCUAGUAAUCGCAGAUCAGCAUGCUGCGGUGAAUACGUUCCCGGGCCUUGUACACACCGCCGUCACACCAUGGGAGUCGGUAACACCCGAAGUCGGUAGUCUAACCGAAAGGAGGACGCCGCCGAAGGUGGGAUUGAUGACUGGGGUGAAGUCGUAACAAGGUAUC